CAACCCUCAAGCUCAGCUUGGUGUUGGGCCCCGCCGCCCCGGCGGGCCCUAAAGUCAGUGGCGGUGCCGUCCGGCUCCGAGCGUAGUAAUUCUUCUCGCUCUGGAGGUCCGGUCGUGUGCUUGCCAUCAACCCCCAAUUUUUUUCA
rnacentral:misc_RNA from 2 species